rnacentral:rRNA from 1 species
GCGGACGGGUGAGUAAUGCCUAGGAAUCUGCCUGGUAGUGGGGGAUAACGUUCGGAAACGGACGCUAAUACCGCAUACGUCCUACGGGAGAAAGCAGGGGACCUUCGGGCCUUGCGCUAUCAGAUGAGCCUAGGUCGGAUCAGCUAGUUGGUGGGGUAAUGGCUCACCAAGGCGACGAUCCGUAACUGGUCUGAGAGGAUGAUCAGUCACACUGGAACUGAGACACGGUCCAGACUCCUACGGGAGGCAGCAGUGGGGAAUAUUGGACAAUGGGCGAAAGCCUGAUCCAGCCAUGCCGCGUGUGUGAAGAAGGUCUUCGGAUUGUAAAGCACUUUAAGUUGGGAGGAAGGGUUGUAGAUUAAUACUCUGCAAUUUUGACGUUACCGACAGAAUAAGCACCGGCUAACUCUGUGCCAGCAGCCGCGGUAAUACAGAGGGUGCAAGCGUUAAUCGGAAUUACUGGGCGUAAAGCGCGCGUAGGUGGUUAGUUAAGUUGGAUGUGAAAUCCCCGGGCUCAACCUGGGAACUGCAUUCAAAACUGACUGACUAGAGUAUGGUAGAGGGUGGUGGAAUUUCCUGUGUAGCGGUGAAAUGCGUAGAUAUAGGAAGGAACACCAGUGGCGAAGGCGACCACCUGGACUGAUACUGACACUGAGGUGCGAAAGCGUGGGGAGCAAAC